CCUACGGGUGUCAGCAGUGGGGCAUAUUGCACAAUGGGGGAAACCCUGAUGCAGCGACGCCGCGUGUGUGAAGAAGUAUUUCGGUAUGUAAAGCUCUUUCCGCAGGGGAGAAAAUUACGGUUCCUGAUUAAGAAGCCCCCGAUCACUACGUUCCCACCGCCGCCGUGAAACGUAGGGGGCAAGCGUUCUUCGGAUAUACUGGGGGGAAAGGGAGCGUAGACGGCAGCAGAAGGCUGGGGGGAAAUGCCGGGGUUGAACCUGGGAACUGCAUUUGAAACUGGUCAGCUAGAGUGCAGGAGAGGUAAGGGGAAUUCCUAGUGUAGCGGUGAAAUGCGUAGAUAUUAGGAGGAACACCAGUGGCGAAGGCGGCUUACUGGACUGUAACUGACGUUGAGGCUCGAAAGCGUGGGGAGCAAACAGGAUUAGAUACCCGAGUAGUC
rnacentral:rRNA from 1 species